AGGAUGCAGGUCGUGGCACCGCGAGCCCUCUUCCUGCUGCUCUUGGGGGCCCUGGCCCUGACCGAGACCUGGGCGGGCUCCCACUCCCUGAGGUACUUCCUCACCGGGGUGUCCCGGCCCGGCCGCGGGGAGCCCCGCUUCAUCGCCGUCGGCUACGUGGACGACACGCAGUUCGUGCGGUUCGACAGCGACGCCCCGAAUCCGAGGGGUGAGCCGCGGGCGCCGUGGGUGGAGCAGGAGCGGCCGGAGUACUGGGAAGAGGAGACGCGGAUCUUGAAGGACGCCGCACAGAUUUACCGAGUGAACCUGAGCACCUUGCGCGGCUACUACAACCAGAGCGAGGCCGGGUCUCACACCCUCCAGGAGAUGCGCGGCUGCGACGUGGGGCCGAACGGUCGCCUCCUCCGCGGGUACAGACAGUACGCCUACGACGGCGCCGAUUACAUCGCCCUGAACGAGGACCUGCGCUCCUGGACCGCGGCCGACGCGGCGGCUCAGAUCACCAAGCAAGAGUGUGAGGCGCCCGGUGUUACAGAGCAACACAGGAACUACCUGGAGGGCACCUGCGUGGAGUGGCUCCUCAGAUACCUGGAGAUCGGGAAGGACACGCUGCAGCGCGCAGACCCUCCAAAGACACACGUGACCCAUCACCCCAUCUCUGACCGUGAGGUCACCCUGAGGUGCUGGGCCCUGGGCUUCUACCCUAAGGAGAUCUCACUGACCUGGCAGCGGGAUGGGGGGGAUCAGACCCAGGACAUGGAGCUUGUGGAGACCAGGCCUUCAGGGGACGGAACCUUCCAGAAGUGGGCGGCCCUGGUGGUGCCUUCUGGAGAGGAGCAGAGAUACUCGUGCCAUGUGCAGCACGAGGGGCUUCAGGAGCCCCUCACCCUGGGAUGGGAACCUCCUCAGCCCACCGUCCCCAUCAAGGGCCUCAUUGUUGGCCUGGUUCUCUUGGUGGUCACUGGCGCCGUGGUGGCUGGAGCUGUGAUCUGGAGGAAGAAGCACUCAGGUGAAAAAGGAGGGAGCUACGCUCAGGCUGCAAGCAGUGACAGUGCCUAGGGCUCUGAUGUGUCUCUCACGGAUCCUAAAGGUGAGACCCUGGAGGGCCUAGAUUGGGAGAGAUGUUGGGGUGGAGGAGAUGCCCCAGGUGGUGGGGAUCCUUGA